UGGGGGAUAUUGCACAAUGGGCGAAAGCCUGAUGCAGCGACGCCGCGUGGGGGAUGAAGGCCUUCGGGUUGUAAACUUCUUUUGCUCUGAACAAGGCGCACCAUGGGGUGUGUUGAGUGUAGGGGUUGAUUAGCGACGGCUAACUACGUGCCAGCAGCCGCGGUAAUACGUAGGGCGCGAGCGUUGUCCGGAAUUAUUGGGCGUAAAGGGCUUGUAGGUGGCUGGUUGCGUCUGUCGUGAAAGCUCAUGGCUUAACUGUGGGUUUGCGGUGGGUACGGGCUGGCUUGAGUGCAGUAGGGGAGGCUGGAAUUCCUGGUGUAGCGGUGGAAUGCGCAGAUAUCAGGAGGAAUACCGGUGGCGAAGGCGGGUCUCUGGGCUGUUACUGACACUGAGGAGCGAAAGCAUGGGGAGCGAACAGG
rnacentral:rRNA from 1 species